rnacentral:rRNA from 1 species
GAUGAACGCUAGCGGCAGGCUUAACACAUGCAAGUCGAGGGGUAUUUAUCUUCGGAUAGAGAGACCGGCGCACGGGUGCGUAACGCGUAUGCAAUCUACCUUUUACAGAGGGAUAGCCCAGAGAAAUUUGGAUUAAUACCUCAUAGUAUAUAGACUCGGCAUCGAGAUUAUAUUAAAGUCUCAACGGUAAAAGAUGAGCAAGCGUCCCAUUAGCUAGUUGGUAAGGUAACGGCUUACCAAGGCUACGAUGGGUAGGGGUCCUGAGAGGGAGAUCCCCCACACUGGUACUGAGACACGGACCAGACUCCUACGGGAGGCAGCAGUGAGGAAUAUUGGACAAUGGGCGCAAGCCUGAUCCAGCCAUGCCGCGUGCAGGAUGACGGUCCUAUGGAUUGUAAACUGCUUUUAUACGAGAAGAAACACUGCUACGUGUAGCAGCUUGACGGUAUCGUAAGAAUAAGGAUCGGCUAACUCCGUG